rnacentral:lncRNA from 1 species
UGAAAUUUGAAUUCUGAAAUUUGAAAUUUGAAAUUUGAAAUUUUAGGUUUUUUUUCUUUUUUUUUAGUUUUGAAUAAUCACCUUUGAUCUUUUCUUAAAGUUUUUUUUUUCUUAAAUUUUCAAUUAGCAACAAGGGUUAAUGAGAUAUGAUAACGAUAAAAUUCUGAUUCUAAAAAAAAUAAAUGCUGAAAAUUUAAAGUAGAAAGCAGCAAGGUUUCGUAUUAAUCUGAUGGUCGUAAAAAUGUUAGAAUGUCAAUCCGACCGUUCAGAUUAUCGAACAAUGUGUCUUGCACUAGCUGACCAAAUUUGAGUCAAAUCAGACGGCUAAUUUCUAUGAUAUCAGAGUUUGAUGCAAACUGUGCAGGGAAUUAAAAAUAGUAGUAAAGAUGCAAAUUUUUUUUUUUUCAAAAGAAAAAUACUAACUACUAAGGUAAAAAUUAAAUCUAAAAUUAUACUAAUAACUCAGCCGUUCCCCGGCAACGGCGCCAAAAACUUGGUGCUUUUGAAAAACUGUUCUUCCAAGUGCAGGAGAAUCGCACAAGUAGUAUAACUCGAGAGUCCGAGGUCGAUUCCUCAGGAAACGAAAUAUGGAUUAUUAGCGUAAUUUCAGAUUUAAUAAAUACAAUAAACUUGUGGAUUAAGAUGAUGUUUUGCAAAUAGAAAAUAAAUCAAUAAAUAGAGGAUCGAAGUUAGGAUAGAUUAAGAUGGU